GCAAACUUGGUCAUUUAGAGGAAGUAAAAGUCGUAACAAGGUUUCCGUAGGUGAACCUGCGGAAGGAUCAUUAUUGAAUUUUGAUACAGGGGUUGUGCUGGCCUUUAGGGGCAUGUGAACACCCCUAUCUCAAAUAAAUCCAACCUUUACACCCUGUGCACUGUUUGUAGGUCUGAGAAAUCAGCCUAUGUUUUUUUCAAUACACUCUUUUAAAAUUAUUUGAAUGUAUAUUUGAGUAGGCUUGUACAAAGCUGAAAUAAAAUUAAAUACAACUUUCAACAACGGAUCUCUUGGCUCUCGCAUCGAUGAAGAACGCAGC
rnacentral:misc_RNA from 1 species